rnacentral:tRNA from 1 species
UCCAAGGUAGCUUAGUUGGUAAAGAAUCUGCAUUUAAUGCAGGUGAUCUCGGUUCAAGUCCUGGCUUGAGAA